AUCAACCAUCAGAAUGGGGGAAAAAUGUGAUCUCAGUGAUUUGGAGCGUGGCAUGAUUGUUGGUGGAAAGUCACAGGUUUGGCAGAACAUGAGGGUCCCAGUGAAGACAGCUGAGAUCUGUGAGAAAAACAAAGACUGGCUGAGUUUUCACUGCAGACACCAUCUCAGCAUGUGGACGGAGUCUCUUUGAUUAUCCACGAACGAAGCCAUCAAAUGAACACAACACCAAAUUCCACAGAUCAGAGAGAGCCCCACCAAGCCAUUAGAGAGUCAUAAAAAUGAAUCCAUGGUGCCUAAAUUGCUGAAGGAGACCGUCUCUACCAUUCCUGCUUAAUCUCAAACUAGGGUAAUGACAGCGCUAACCCAUACAGACAACCUUUCUUUGUUCCACAAACUUAAACCCUCUGUAAGACCAAAUGGCCAAGUAACACCUUGUGACCUUAAAUGCGUAAAUCCGCGGCCAUAUCAGGAAACGAAGACAGUCCCAAGGCCCGAAAUCAACAUAGACCUAAAGACAGGGACACCUCCUCUCCCCAUCCUGCACAUUCCAAAGACAUUCUUUCUUAGCUCAGCAGAGACCGCAUGAGAUCCGCCUGAAUUACAAUGAACAAAACAAUGCCAAGUCUCUUUAUUCUGGACGAUAAUUAGUCAUGAGGUCUUCAUGAGAUUCUCAUUAUUCUGCAAACAGCAUCUGAAAGGAAUCCAUGAAUGUUGUACUUUGCUGAAGUUAACCCUCUAAAAUGUACAGAAUGCAUUUAGAUCCACCAUGUACACAAUACAUAGCCUUGCUAGAUAAUUCUGAAAAUUACUUUGACCUGUGAUUACUGUUAUAACUGACAAAUUAAUGAUUAUAGCCGAUGUACCUUUUAAAAUGUGUAGUGAUGAUUAUAAUCUUUAAAUAUUGUACUAUUCAAGGCUUCACCUGUUAAAAUACCCCGACAAUCAGGUUUCUCUUAACGUGUAAUGUAUUAUCCAUGUUGUAAAACCAGUGAAUUAACCAGUAUGAUUGGUAAUCAGGGAUUUUCAUGUUUUGUUACUUACACGUGUAAUAUUUAUGAAAGUAUGUCAUAUUUAGUAUAUAAAUGCUUGCUUGUUUACAUAGAGAAUGUUGAUGACAACGUUUUCAAGAUAUAAAAGUUCAUGAUUAAACCUUCACUAUUUUGAGCCAGAGUUGAAAGAAUCCUGUACACACAAAGGAUUGUAAAUCAACUCUGAAAAGGACAGACCAGUUGACCAUGUGACUCUGAAAAGUCACUUCUGCUUGGCUCAGGACGCCUUUGGGGUGCAGCCAAUUUCAGUUCAGAUGUUUCCAAAACAGGAAGAACGCUGCUUCUGCUCUUUGGAAUCCUCUCUUGGAACCGUUGCUUGGUCUCCUCUCUUUGGCUCUCUUGCUUCUUCCUAAUCCUCCGUGCCAUGUAGAGUCCAAGGAAAACUCGGGACACAAAAGUCCCGAGGAAGCCUCUCACUCUCUGCUCUACGGUUCAGACAUCCAACGGGAGUCACGAGUCCUUCUUGCACACAAUAACUUCAAUCCAUCCAGACAAUAACUAUCUGAUCAUAACAGAAGUCAAAAUUAUCGACGGAACGAACUUUCUACAAAGAGCCAAAGAACCAAGCAACACAAAGAACGCAACGCAAGGAAACGCAACGAUGCGCAAGUACAUCUCCAGACUUUUGCUCAAAGUGCUGGUGUAUUAUUUAAAUACUUUGGGUAAUCUGAUUGCAAAUUGAUGUAGACUCAGAGAAGGAUAAAUUAUUCUUAAAGGGAUUGUCACCAGACUCCAUAAAUUUCAUUUUCUCUGUAUUGAUCAUUUAUUUCACAUUCUGUCACUACUCACCAACCUGUUUCAUGUUGUAUGUCUUAGAUUAGUUUGUUUAGA